rnacentral:rRNA from 1 species
CUACGGGAGGCAGCAGUGGGGAAUUUUGGACAAUGGGGGCAACCCUGAUCCAGCCAUGCCGCGUGCGGGAAGAAGGCCUUCGGGUUGUGAACCGCUUUUGUCGGGGAAGAAACGGUCUGCGCUAAUACCGCGGACUAAUGACGGUACCCGAAGAAUAAGCACCGGCUAACUACGUGCCAGCAGCCGCGGUAAUACGUAGGGUGCAAGCGUUAAUCGGAAUUACUGGGCGUAAAGCGUGCGCAGGCGGCUUUGCAAGACAGAUGUGAAAUCCCCGGGCUUAACCUGGGAACUGCAUUUGUGACUGCAUGGCUGGAGGGCGGCAGAGGGGGAUGGAAUUCCGCGUGUAGCAGUGAAAUGCGUAGAUAUGCGGAGGAACACCGAUGGCGAAGGCAAGCCCCUGGGCCUGCACUGACGCUCAUGCACGAAAGCGUGGGGAGCAAACAGGAUUAGAUACCCGUGUAGGCC